UACGGGGGGGGCUAGCGUUGUUCGGAAUUACUGGGCGUAAAGGGCGCGUAGGCGGUCUGCUAAGUUGGAUGUGAAAACUCUGGGCUUAACCCAGAGCCUGCAUUCAAUACUGACAGGCUAGAGUUCUGGAGGGGAUAGCGGAAUUCCUGGUGUAGCGGUGAAAUGCGCAGAUAUCAGGAGGAACACCGGUGGCGAAGGCGGAUCUCUGGGCCUUACCUGACGCUCAGGCACGAAAGCUAGGGGAGCGAACAGG
rnacentral:rRNA from 1 species